AACGAACGCUGGCGGCAUGCCUAACACACGCAAGUCGAACGAGACCUUCGGGUCUAGUGGCGCACGGGUGCGUAACGCGUGGGAACCUGCCCUUAGGUUCGGAAUAACUCCCCGAAAGGGGUGCUAAUACCGGAUAAGGUCUUCGGACCAAAGAUUUAUCGCCUUUGGAUGGGCCCGCGUUGGAUUAGCUAGUUGGUAGGGUAAAAGCCUACCAAGGCGACGAUCCAUAGCUGGUCUGAGAGGAUGAUCAGCCACACUGUGACUGAGACACGGCCCAGACUCCUCCGGGAGGCAGCAGUGGGGAAUAUUGGAACAUGGGCGAAAGCCUGAUCCAGCAAUGCCGCGUGAGUGAUGAAGGCCUUAGGGUUGUAAAGCUCUUUUACCCGGGAUGAUAAUGACAGUACCGGGAGAAUAAGCUCCGGCUAACUCCGUG
rnacentral:rRNA from 1 species